rnacentral:rRNA from 1 species
UAAGUGAAGAAUAUGACGGUAACUUAUGAAUAAGCACCGGCUAAAUACGUGCCAGCAGCCGCGGUCAUACGUAGGGUGCAAGCAUUAUCCGGAGUGACUGGGCGUAAAGAGUUGCGUAGGUGGUUUGUUAAGUAGGUAGUGAAAUCUGGCGGCUCAACCGUACAGGCUAUUACCUAAACUGGCAAACUCGAGAAUGGUAGAGGUAACUGGAAUUUCUAGUGUAGGAGUGAAAUCCGUAGAUAUUAG